AAAAUGUUUGGGCCGAACCGGGAAUCGAACCCGGGACCUCUCGCACCCGAAGCGAGAAUCAUACCUCUAGACCAUCCGGCCACUGGUU
ensembl:ncRNA ZK617.10 ncRNA